rnacentral:rRNA from 1 species
UACGUAGGGUGCAAGCGUUGUCCGGAAUUAUUGGGCGUAAAGAGCUCGUAGGCGGCUUGUCGCGUCUGCUGUGAAAUCCCGGGGCUCAACCCCGGGCCUGCAGUGGGUACGGGCAAGCUAGAGUGCGGUAGGGGAGAUUGGAAUUCCUGGUGUAGCGGUGGAAUGCGCAGAUAUCAGGAGGAACACCAAUGGCGAAGGCAGAUCUCUGGGCCGCUACUGACGCUGAGGAGCGAAAGCAUGGGGAGCGAACAGG